UAGGGAAUCUUCCGCAAUGGACGCAAGUCUGACGGAGCAACGCCGCGUGUGUGAAGAAGGAUUUCGGUUCGUAAAACUCUGUUGUUAGAGAAGAACAGCGCAUAGAGUAACUGUUAUGCGUGUGACGGUAUCUAACCAGAAAGCCACGGCUAACUACGUGCCAGCAGCCGCGGUAAUACGUAGGUGGCAAGCGUUGUCCGGAUUUAUUGGGCGUAAAGCGAGCGCAGGCGGUCAAUUAAGUCUGAUGUGAAAGCCGCCGGCUCAACCGGGGAGGGUCAUUGGAAACUGGUUGACUUGAGUGCAGAAGAGGGGAGUGGAAUUCCAUGUGUAGCAGUGAAAUGCGUAUAUAUAUGGAGGAACACCAGUGGCGAAGGCGACUCUCUGGUCUGUAACUGACGCUGAGGCUCGAAAGCGUGGGUAGCAAACAGG
rnacentral:rRNA from 1 species